GGUUCAGCAGGAGAGAGAGAGAGAGAGAGAGAGAGAGAGAGAGAGAGAGAGAGAGAGAGAGAGAGUGUUCUCUCUCUCUCUCUCUCUCUCUCUCUCUCUCUCUCUGCAGACCCUUAAGGUUA
rnacentral:miRNA from 1 species